rnacentral:rRNA from 1 species
CCUACGGGAGGCAGCAGUAGGGAAUAUUGCUCAAUGGGGGAAACCCUGAAGCAGCAACGCCGCGUGGAGGAUGAAGGUUUUCGGAUUGUAAACUCCUUUUGUUAGAGAAGAUAAUGACGGUAUCUAACGAAUAAGCACCGGCUAACUCCGUUCCAGCAGCCGCGGUCAUACGGAGGGUGCAAGCGUUACUCGGAAUCACUGGGCGUAAAGAGCGCGUAGGCGGGAUAGCAAGUCAGAUGUGAAAUCCUAUGGCUUAACCAUAGAACUGCAUUUGAGACUGUUAGUCUAGAGUAUGGGAGAGGUAGGUGGAAUUCUUGGUGUAGGGGUAAAAUCCGUAGAGAUCAAGAGGAAUACUCAUUGCGAAGGCGACCUGCUAGAACAUAACUGACGCUGAUGCGCGAAAGCGUGGGGAGCAAACAGGAUUAGAUACCCCUGUAGUC